rnacentral:rRNA from 1 species
GCAUAUCAAUAAGCGGAGGAAAAGAAACUAACAAGGAUUCCCUUAGUAACGGCGAGUGAAGUGGGAAGAGCUCAAAUUUUAAAUCCCCGGGGUUCCCCCGGUGAAUUGUAUUUUGAAGAAAGUGUUUUGACAUUCGGUUUAAUCUAAAUCCUUUGGGAUAAGGUAUCACAGAGGGUGAGAAUCCCGUUCGUGAUUAGGCAUCGGGUGUCAUCCAAUUCACUUUCUAAGAGUCGAGUUGUUUGGGAUUGCAGCUCAAAAUGGGUGGUAAAUUUCACCUAAGGCUAAAUAUCAGCAAGAGACCGAUAGCGAACAAGUACCGUGAGGGAAAGAUGAAAAGAACUUUGAAAAGAGAGUUAAAUAGUACGUGAAAUUGUUGAAAGGGAAACGAUUGAAGUCAGUCAUGCUGGUGAGGAAUCAACACGAGGGUUCGCUUUCGUGUGCACUUCUUCGCUUGGCAGGUUAGCAUCAAUUUUGGUCGUCAUAAAAUUAUCGGGGUAAGGUGGCUCCCCUCGGGGAGUGUUAUAGACCUUGGUAGAUGUGAUGACCGGGAUUGAGGAUUGCAGCGAAUGCUACUUGGCUAGUCACCUGGAUUUCUGUUGAUUACCUCGCCGUCGAUAGCUUUGCUAACCUCGGUGGGAUCUGAUUAACUAGAGAUUAGACUGAUCGUAAAUUCGCUAAGGAUGCUGACGUAAUGGCUUUAAACGAC